AUCUUUUUCUACAGUCAUAUUUCCUUGGACGCAGAAGUCACGAAUGAUGGAAUUACCGGUUGAAAAUGAGAUUGUCUAGUGUCUUAAGAAAAGUAGUUGCAUGUGUGAGAGAA